UACGUAGGGUGCAAGCGUUAAUCGGAAUUACUGGGCGUAAAGCGUGCGCAGGCGGUUAUGUAAGACAGAUGUGAAAUGCCCGGGCUUAACCUGGGAACUGCAUUUGUGACUGCAUGGCUAGAGUUUGGCAGAGGGGGGUGAGAAUUCCACGUGUAGCAGUGAAAUGACGUAGAUAUGUGGAGGAACACCGAUGGCGAAGGCAGCCCCCUGGGUCAAGACUGGACGCUCAUGCACGAAAGCGUGGGGAGCAAA
rnacentral:rRNA from 1 species